UCCUGUGUGGCUCAGUUGGUAGAGCAUCACACUUGCAAUGACAGGAUUGUGGGUUUGAUUCCCACAGGGGAU
rnacentral:tRNA from 1 species